GUCAAAUAGCAGGGAGAAAAGCUGAGAAUUGGCCAUUAUUUACAGAACUACCGGAAACAAAGUCUUCUGCAACACAAAAGAAGUCCUUUUUUGAUGGUGACACGCUCUAUGUUGCUAUGUAUUCAUGUUGCACAAUUCUUAUCCUGGGAUUAGUUUUGCUGGCUUUACUUAAAACCAGAGAUUUUGCAAAGCAGGCUAAGAACCCAUCACCUGCUCAUCUAUCAGAGAGGCUUAUGAUUCCUCAGCAACCAUGGGUCGUCAACUGUGUGGAUAACAAUCUUUCAGGCUCCUCUUGCAGCCAACCCCUUACAAUUCUAUCAUGAAAGACCUCUUGAAAAAAUGACUAACAUUAUACUCUUCUGCCUCUUCAUCAAGUGCUUAGCAUCUCAUUAUAUGAGAGAGCACCCAGAGAGUACGAUUUCACCAUGUAUUGUUUGCUGCAAUAUCAUGAUGAUGUGCAUUGAGACCUUGUGCAUGAUGUACUGCCGGGGAGCUGUCUGAGGUUGGAACUACAUGUUCUCUUGGUAAAGUCAUAUUCUGAAACACGAGUUGUCCCAUCAAUUCUUCCUUGCAAAUGGGAUCACCUCCCUCCCCUCAAGCUUGAGAACAGUGGUCUGGGGGACAAUUAUAACAAAAAGACGCACGGGGUAUGGGCGGGGUUAGAUAAGUAUCCUGUUCUACCUGCCAUUUCUCCUCCCCACCCCAUAUUUUAAAAAUUAUCCAAUUUCUCUGCCCCCAACUAUUUAAGAGUUGUGCUCUUGACGUAACUGGGAAUGGUAUUGUUGCCCAAAUAAUGUUCUGUGUCAGGUCUGUCAAGUGGAGAACACCCCCAAAAUGUG